UAAUUUGAAGGUGACUUGGAGGUCAUGGAAACCAACAAUAAAGCAAUACUAAACAAUAAAGUGUCUCCCAUGUUC
rnacentral:lncRNA from 1 species